rfam:Mycobacterium sp. E796 contig_350, whole genome shotgun sequence.
GGAGUCUGUGCCUAGGGUUCCGCUCGCGCGAGGUCUGGACCGAGGGGCACACCCGCACCGGGGUGCGGGCACACCAGGGGACAAAAGCCCGGCAGGA